rnacentral:ncRNA from 2 species
GGUAACUUUCGGGGGCGGGUGGAAUUCCCGCACCGGCGGUGAGCCCGGGUCCAGCGCGCCCGGGGAGCCCGCGACCCCCCGCCGCAGGCGGGGGUGGAGCCGGUGAGAGUCCGGCGCCGACGGUGAUAGUCCGGAUGGGAGAAAGGAAGC